AGCGAACGCUGGCGGCAGGCUUAACACAUGCAAGUCGAACGCACCGCAAGGUGAGUGGCAGACGGGUGAGUAACACGUGGGGAUCUGCCCAAUGGUACGGAAUAGCUUCGGGAAACUGGAAUUAAUACCGUAUGUGCCCUUCGGGGGAAAGAUUUAUCGCCAUUGGAUGAACCCGCGUCGGAUUAGCUAGUUGGUGGGGUAAAGGCCCACCAAGGCGACGAUCCGUAGCUGGUCUGAGAGGAUGAUCAGCCACACUGGGACUGAGACACGGCCCAGACUCCUACGGGAGGCAGCAGUGGGGAAUAUUGGACAAUGGGCGCAAGCCUGAUCCAGCCAUGCCGCGUGAGUGAUGAAGGCCUUAGGGUUGUAAAGCUCUUUCGCCGACGAAGAUAAUGACGGUAGUCGGAGAAGAAGCCCCGGCUAACUUCGUGCCAGCAGCCGCCGUAACAC
rnacentral:rRNA from 1 species